rnacentral:rRNA from 1 species
UGCCAGCAGCCGCGGUAAUACUGAAGGUGCAAGCGUUAAUCGGAAUCACUGGGCGUAAAGCGCGCGUAGGCGGAUUAGACAGUUGAGGGUGAAAUCCCGGAGCUUAACUCCGGAACUGCCUUCAAUACUACUAAUCUUGAGUUCGGAAGAGGUGAGUGGAAUUCCUAGUGUAGAGGUGAAAUUCGUAGAUAUUAGGAAGAACAUCAGUGGCGAAGGCGACUCACUGGUCCGAUACUGACGCUGAGGUGCGAAAGCGUGGGGAGCAAACAGGAUUAGAUA